rnacentral:miRNA from 1 species
UACCUCGUCGACUGGAAGGAAGCCCUCCAGGUCAACGAGGUACAUGUACCUCGUCGACCGGAAGGAAGCCCUUCCAGUCAGCGAGGUACAUGUACCUCAUUGACCGGAAGGAUCUCCUUCUAGUCGGUGAGGUACAUGUACCUCGUCAGCCGGAAGGAUUUCCUUCCAGUCGACGAGGUA